GACGUAGGGCGCGAGCGUUGUCCGGAAUUAUUGGGCGUAAAGGGCUCGUAGGCGGUUUGUCGCGUCGGGAGUGAAAACUCAGGGCUUAACCCUGAGCCUGCUUCCGAUACGGGCAGACUAGAGGUAUGUAGGGGAGAACGGAAUUCAUGGUGUAGCAGUGAAAUGCGUAGAGAUCAUGAGGAAGACCAGUGGCGAAGGCGGGUCUCUGGACAGUUCCUGACACUGAGGCACGAAGGCCAGGGGAGCAAACGGG
rnacentral:rRNA from 1 species